rnacentral:rRNA from 1 species
UGAAGGCCAGGCUGAAGACUUUGCCGGAUUAGCUGAGAGGUGGUGCAUGGCCGUCGUCAGUUCGUACUGUGAAGCAUCCUGUUAAGUCAGGCAACGAGCGAGACCCACGCCCACAGUUGCCAGCGUACUCGUCUGGAGUGACGGGUACACUGUGGGACCGCCGCUGCUAAAGCGGAGGAAGGAAUGGGCAACGGUAGGUCAGUAUGCCCCGAAUAUCCCGGGCUACACGCGAGCUACAAUGGUUGGUACAAUGGGUAUCUACCCCGAAAGGGGACGGGAAUCUCCUAAAACCAAUCUUAGUUCGGAUUGAGGGCUGCAACUCGCCCUCAUGAAGCUGGAAUCCGUAGUAAUCGCGUUUCAACAGAACGCGGUGAAUACGUCCCUGCUCCUU